CCGUCCCUGAUGUGCCAUUUGUGUUUUCCUCUUUUCCCUAUUCAAGCUGCACACUGCUUUCCUCUCAUGAGUUUGCCGUCCCUGAUGUGCCAUUUGUGUUUUCCUCUUUUCCCUAUUCAAGCUGCACACUGCUUUCCUCUCAUGAGUUUGCCGUCCCUGAUGUGCCAGCCCAGCUCUCCACUAUUUCUCUUUUCAAGUAACUUUUCAUACAAAAUCUUAGGUUCCCUCCUUUCUUUCUGAGUCAUGUCCUUCACCACUGCUACUUUCUUGGUCCAUUCUUUUCUUGUGUGUUUGAGAUUUCUUGCAUUCUUUAACACUUUCCAUUUCACGUCCUCAUCUUCCAUCACCAGCAGGGUCGGCCUGUUGGCGGCCCUGUCUCUCUGCCCAGCCUGAUCACCUGUUUAAUUAAUGGUUUCUUCCACCUUCAUUUCCUCAAAUGCCUCACAACACUUUCUCUCAUCCACUUCUUUAUUUGCUUGAUCUGUUUCUCCCUCACUUUCUUCCAAAUUGUAUAUUGUUAAAUUAUUCCUCCUUUUUCUUUUUCUAGUCUGUCAGGCCAUCAAGCCCCUCAACACCACCACCACCACCACCACCACCACCAGCGUCAUGGAGGCUGCAGGGAGGGACGGCAGGAUGGCAGGACGGAGACAGGUGGUGAAGAACAUGAACACUGGCGGCAGCCCUGAGGAGUGUCCAGUGUGCCUGACAGGCUAUGAUGGCACCGUGCAGCGGCCGCGCACCCUGCCCUGUGGCCACACUGUCUGCACGCUGUGCAUAGACCAGCUGGAGGAGCAGGGCCGUGUUGCCUGCCCAGAGUGCCGCGUCAGCCACGCCGUGCCCGAGGGAGAACAGUUCCCUGUCUGCUAUGCUGUUGAGGCCCUCAUAAGAAUGUUGAGAGACGCUGAGGAGGCAGCAGCAGCAGCAGCAGCAGCCUUGCCGCCACCCAGCACCGGGGAAGCAGCAGCCUCGCCGCCACCCAGUGCCUGGGAAGGAGCACCAUCAGGGGCGGCUGGCAAGAAGGAGGCGGCGGGUCUCUCCAAGAAAAUGCGUUCCUUCCUGCAGGAACAGGAGGCCACAGUUGUGGCCGCCAUCACCGCCUGCCGGGAGGCUCAGUCGCAGCUGGACCAGUACCAGACGACCCUGGCAGGCUGGGGCAAGCAGCAGCAGCAGCUGGAGGACAGGCUCCUGGGACUGGUGGACCAGAGCAGGAGUGCCAGGGAGCUCCUGCAGCAGGAAGAGUCCCGUGUGGCGGCCAAGGAGGAGGAGCUGAAGAAGGAGGAGCAGGGGCUGCAGGCCAUGCUGGAGACGUUGCGCACCCUUGCAACAGAGCAAGAAGCAGCCGCGGCGAUGCCUGAAGUGUUUCGUUGGACUGGCGAGGCAGAGCAGGCGGUGGAGGAGUGCCGAGAAGGUUUUCCUGAUGCCAGCACCGUCACCACCGCCAGGAAGGUGAGAGAGGCAUCUAGUGCAGCCCUGGAGGCUGUCCAGGCUGUCCAGGCAGCUCUGGAAACACUUGCUACAGAGGAGCCCAGGCCCCAGGCAGACCCAGACUCCACCAUCAUGGACAGACUGCACCUCAUCUGUACAUGGAGCGUGACGGCCGAGGACCUCCGCAGCCUGACGCAGCCCGCCAGGCGCCUGCUGGAGGCUGGCCGGGUGUUUGCUGUCCACCAGGCGGAAGGUCAGCGCCGACACGCAAGAAUAAGCCUUGAAGCCGGCCAGCUGUGCCUCCACGCCCUGAAGGACCAUCCCCCGCCACUGGGCGCGGCAACCCUGCAGGUGAGCGAGGUUGUGCCGCCCUCCCCCCCCUGCACGGUGUUCCUGGACCUGUCCUGGCCGGGCAGCGCGCCGCGGCGGGUACAAAUCCGUCUGAGCCCCGACACCCCUCGAGGCAGACAGUUGUUACUGUUGUGCACGGGGCAGCGCGGCCCCUCCUACGUUAACACCAGGUUGUGUGGAGUAGAGAGAAAGGCGGAGGCGGGAGAGUAUGUGAAGGGCGGGGACUAUGAGAGUAACGAUGGGGAAGGGUCAUCCGUCCUGCUGCCUGGCCUUGAUGAGGGUGAGUACCGAAACUCAGGCCGGGCGGGGGAUGUGUUUGGGCUGGUGUGGAAGGACCGUACCCGGGGUGAGAAUGGUAAGUUUGGCAUCUUCACCAGAGACUGUAAGGAUGGUGGUGGGUUUUCUUGUGUCUUCGGUGAGGUGGUGGACGGACUGCACGUGGUGGCCGAGGCAGCCCAACACAGGGACAUUAAGGAGGUGACUGUGGCGGACUGUGGCGUGGUGUUGUGAGGGUAAUGGCCACCACCACCACCACCACAGCAAGGUUAUGGAGGUGACUGUGGUGUGGUGUUGUGAGGGUAAUGGCCACCACCACCACCACCACCACCACAGCAAGGUUAUGGAGGUGACUGUGGUGUGGUGUUGUGAGGGUAAUGGCCACCACCACCACCACCACCACCACAGCAAGGUUAUGGAGGUGACUGUGGUGUGGUGUUGUGAGGGUAAUGGCCACCACCACCACCACCACCACCACAGCAAGGUUAUGGAGGUGACUGUGGUGUGGUGUUGUGAGGGUAAUGACCACCACCACCACCACCACCACCACAGCAAGGUUAUGGAGGUGACUGUGGUGUGGUGUUGUGAGGGUAAUGGCCACCACCACCACCACCACCACCACCACAGCAAGAUUAUGGAGGUGACUGUGGUGUGGUGUUGUGAGGGUAAUGGCCACCACCACCACCACCACAGCAAGGUUAUGGAGGUGACUGUGGUGGUUCUUUAUUUUUUGUAACAUCCAGGGUGAUGAUUUGUGCAUUACAUGAACACUUGAUAAUAUAAUCUCUUAUUUCUUGCUGCAUUCCUGUAACAUCCAGGGUGAUGAUUUGUGCAUUACAUAAACACUUGAUAAUAUAAUCUCUUAUUUCUUGCUGCAUUCCUGUAACAUCCAGGGUGAUAUUUUGUGCAUUACAUAAACACUUGAUAAUAUAAUCUCUUAUUUCUUGCUGCAUUCCUGUAACAUCCAGGGUGAUGAUUUGUGCAUUACAUAAACACUUGAUAAUAUAAUCUCUUAUUUCUUGCUGCAUUCCUGUAACAUCCAGGGUGAUGAUUUGUGCAUUACAUAAACACUUGAUAAUAUAAUCUCUUAUUUCUUGCUGCAUUCCUGUAACAUCCAGGGUGAUAUUUUGUGCAUUACAUAAACACUUGUUGAUAUAUAAUGUUUCAAUUUCUCGCUGCAUUUUUGUAACAUCCGUAUUAUGUGCAUUACAUGAACACUUGAUAUAAUCUCUUAUUUUUCGCUGCAUUCUUGUAACAUCCGGGGCGAUACUCUGCGUGAUGUUUUGUGCAUUACAUAAAUACUGGAUGUAAUGUGAUAGUUUCUUGGGGCAUCCUUGUAACAUGUUUUGUGCAUUACAUAAAUACUGGAUGUAAUGUGUUAGUUUCUUGGGGCAUCCUUGUAACAUGUUUUGUGCAUUACAUAAAUACUGGAUGUAAUGUGUUAGUUUCUUGGGGCAUCCUUGUAACAUGUUUUGUGCAUUACAUAAAUACUGGAUGUAAUGUGUUAGUUUCUUGGGGCAUCCUUGUAACAUGUUUUGUGCAUUGCAUAAAUACUGGAUGUAAUGUGUUAGUUUCUUGGGGCAUCCUUGUAACAUGUUUUGUGCAUUACAUAAAUAUACUUGAUACAAAG